rnacentral:tRNA from 1 species
GGUUGCGUAGUGUAAUGGUUAUCACAUCGGAUUCUGAUUUCUUGAACAUUCCGGUAAUCUGAGUUCGAUUCUCAGCGCGACCU